GAGGAUAUAGCUCAGUGGUAGAGCACAUGCUUAGCAUGCACGAGGUCCUGGAUUCAAUCCCCAGUACCUCCA
rnacentral:tRNA from 1 species